rnacentral:rRNA from 1 species
GGAAUAUUGGACAAUGGGGGAAACCCUGAUCCAGCAAUGCCGCGUGAGUGAUGAAGGCCCUCGGGUCGUAAAACUCUUUCAGCAGGGAAGAAAAUCUGACGGUACCUGCAGAAGAAGCACCGGCUAACCCCGUGCCAGCAGCCGCGGUAAUACGGAGGGUGCAAGCGUUGUUCGGAAUCAUUGGGCGUAAAGCGCGUGUAGGCGGCCGCUUAAGUCCGGUGUGAAAGCCCGGGGCUUAACUCCGGAAGUGCACUGGAUACUGGGCGGCUAGAGGACGGGAGAGGGAAGCGGAAUUCCUGGUGUAGGGGUGAAAUCCGUAGAUAUCAGGAGGAACAUCGGUGGCGAAGGCGGCUUCCUGGCCCGUUUCUGACGCUGAGACGCGAAAGCGUGGGGAGCAA